rnacentral:misc_RNA from 1 species
UUGAAAUAAACCUGAUGAGUUGCUGCUGGUUCUCUAGGGAGCAUGUGCACACUUGUCGUCUUUAUAUUUCCACCUUGUGCACCUUUUGUAGACCUGGAUAUCUCUCUGAAUGCACACAAGCAUUUGGGUUUGAGGGGUUGACUUUUUGGUCUCCCUUUAUAUUUCCAGGCCUAUGUUUCUUUCAUAUACCCCACUUGUGUUAUAGAAUGUAAUAAAUGGGCCUUUGUGCCUGUAAAGCUAUA